AGGAGAGAGAAUGUGGAACUUGCUGUCAUGUGAAGUCGCUUAAAUCAAUAGUACUGAGAUAUCAAAAGGGAGCCAUUGAUGGACAUCACGAUGAACAAAGGUACCAUCGAGAGAUGCCUCCACUCUUUCAAUGCCUUGUGGUCUUGUACUAAAGAAACCUACGGAUGAAAAGCCUCUGUGGAAGACACUUCAAAGAUGGAAGGAAAUAGGGAACAGAGUGAGUCCUGAUGAAGGGUCUCGGCCUGAAACGUCGACUGUUUAUUUCCCUCCAUGGAUGCUGCCUGACCUGCUCAGUUCCUCCAGGACUCUUUGUGUAUUGCUCCAGAUACAUCCAGCAUCUGCAGACUUUCUUGUGUCUCAAGACACCAGCAGUGUUCAAAAUCAUUUAGGACUUUCUUUUUAAGAUGCAAUAUUUUUCAUCAUGCAGAGGUAAGCCUCA